rnacentral:rRNA from 1 species
GACGAACGCUGGCGGCGUGCUUAACACAUGCAAGUCGAACGGAAAGGCCCUGCUUUUGUUUGGUGCUCGAGUGGCGAACGGGUUAGUAACACGUGAGUAACCUGCCCUUGACUUUGGGAUAACUUCAUGAAACUGGUGCUAAUACCUGAUAGGAGCUCCUGCUGCAUGGUGGGGGUUGGAAAUUUUCGGCGGUUGGGGAUGGACGCGCGGCUUAUCAGCUUGUUGGUGGGGUAGUGGCUUACCAAGGCUUUUACGGGUAGCCGGCCUGAGAGGGUGACCGGACACAUUGGGACUGAGAUACGGGCCAGACUCAUAAGGGAGGCAGAAGUGGGGAAUAUUGCACAAUGGGCGGAAGCCUGAUGCAGCAACGCCGCGUGCGGGAUGACGGCAUUCGGGUUGUACCCCGCUUUCGCCUGUGACGAAGCGUGAGUGACGGUAAUGGGUAAAGAAGCAGCGGCUAACUACGUG